GUGAGGAAUUUUCCGCAAUGGGCGAAAGCCUGACGGAGCAAUGCCGCGCGAAGGAUGAAGGCCUAUGGGUUGUAAACUUCUUUUCUCAGAAAAGAAUUAUGACGGUAUCUGAGGAAUAAGCAUCGGCUAACUCUGUGCCAGCAGCCGCGGUAAGACAGAGGAUGCAAGCGUUAUCCGGAAUGAUUGGGCGUAAAGCGUCUGUAGGUUGUUUAAAAAGUAUUCUGUCAAAGAUUAGGGCUUAACCCUAGAUAGGCAGAAUAAACUUUUAAGCUAGAGUUUGGUAGAGGCAGAGGGAAUUCCCGGUGGAGCGGUGAAAUGCGUAGAUAUCGGGAGGAACACCAAAGGCGAAGGCACUCUGCUGGGCCAAUACUAACACUGAGAGACGAAAGCGAGGGGAGCAAAUGGGAUUAGAUACCCCUGUAGUCC
rnacentral:rRNA from 1 species